UUCAACAACAGCUAACAGUAACUCUGAUCAAACAAGCGACACUUCAACAACAGCUAACAGUAACACUGCUCAAGCAAGCGACACGUCAACAACAGCUAACAGUAACUUUGCUCAAGCAAGCGACACUUCAACAACAGCUAACAGUAACUUUGCUCAAGCACGUGACACGUCAACAACAGCUACAGCCGAUGGCUCAUGUUCAGGGGACUCUGACUGCAGUGCAUUUCCGACUACAAGUUGCCGUGCUGGUUUCUGUACAUGUGGUAUAGGAUACGAUCUGGAUGUUGCUAGAGCAGUUUGCAGGGACUUAAGAGAGUGUACCACCUUCGGAACAGAAUACAUCCAUUUCCCAGGACAGGCUAUUUGGAGUGAAGAUAUAGAGUCAAACCCCUCCUCAUAUCCUGUAGCACAAUGUGUUCAAUUAUGCAAUGAAGCUUCAACGUAUGUAUGUAGAUCAUUUGAAACAGACACCAGACUCAACGGGUGCUACACUCAGACAAUCACGUGGCUUGAUGUAACUGAGAACAAACAUAUCUACAAUGACCGUUAUGAUCACUACCAACGAAAGUGCAUCUGGGGGGACAUAUAGAACAUGUCGCUUCUGACAAUUACAUGCAUGCUUUAUCUGAUGAAAUGAUACAUAGAAGGCCAUGUGUCCAGUUCCCUUCUCAGUGCCCCUGUUUCUAGUUACGGCUGACAUACAUCAGCUUAAUGUUUGUCCUAAGUCUCAUCAAGUUGACAAUAUCAGCUUUAUCGGUUAAUCAUUAAUCUUCCUUGCACAGAAGAUUUUGAACCUUUGCUCUUGUUUUGGUAUCAUAAAGGAUAAUGUUGGUGGGGAAAAGAUUUUGGGGUUAUAGUUCGUCCCAGAUUGAC